AGUUUUUACGGAUGCGUAAUGAUUCGAGCUCCGUCAAUGAACCCAUGGAUUGAGGAAUGUUCCCAACAAAAUUAUUGUUUUGUAAAUUCAGGUCCACUAGAUAUGGCCAAAUUCCCCAACAAUCAGGUAUUUCUCCAUACAAGUUAUUCGAUGCAAGAUAGAGAAAUUCUAAAUUCAUUGGCUUCUUAUGAUUUUUGCAUAGAAAAUCAUCCACUGGUUUGGAAAAUGAAUUGCUUGAAAGGUCCAAAAAACCCACAGAAUUUGAAAGUAAGGGUAAUUUGCCACCUAAGUUAUUUGCGCUUAGAUCAACAUUGGUGAUAGAUAUUGGAUUCUUUGAUGUAGUCCCAAGCUCACCAUGGAUAUGAUUAUGAGAGAGAUUUAAAAAAUAAGUCUGAGAAAAUGUUUCCCAAAACCAAUUCGGAAUAGAAUCUAAAAUCCCCGUCUUAGACAUCGCUAAAUAUUCAAGUUUGUGUUGUGACUGAAUCCAUGAAGGAAAGUUAGGACCUAACUGCCAGGAGCUCAUAUCCAAAGAAGUAAGCUUAAAAGUAGGAUGCCAAUUGGGAUCCACUUUUAAAGUCAAAUUGUUUCCUGAUGCAUGAAGGAUACUCAAACUCACAAGAUUAAUGAGAUGAUUUUCCAUCACAACUCCUUCAAAUCGAUUAUAACCAAUAUUAAGAUAUGACAAUUUAGAGAGUGAUCUAAAACUUUCAAAUGGAUUUCCACUAAGCUGAUUCUCGAACAGAGAAAGAUAUCUCAAUGAUGAAAGUUUUUGAAAUGAUACUGGAAGAUUGCCUGAGAGUUGAGAACUUUCAACUCGAAGUAUUGUCAGUCCAUGGAAAAUACAAGGAGAAAGAAUAUCUAAAAUUUCAUUAAUAUGUUGUUUGAGUUUGAGAUAUGAGAAACGUAUCACCCUUAAGUUGCAUAGAUAACCAAAAGAAAUUGGAAUUGGUCCUUCAAGUUUAUUGGAUGAUAAAUCAAGUUCAACUAGAGAAGUCACCUUUCCUAAAGAAGUUGGAAGUGGACCUUCAAGUUUAUUGUAAGACAAAUCAAGUGUAACUAGAGAAGUGAUAUUUCCUAAGGCAUCAGAAAUAGUUCCUUGUAAGUUAUUUCUUGAUAGGUCCAAGAUCUUUAGAUUAGGAAAACUAGUAUAAAACCAAGUAGGUAUUGAAGAUGAGAAUGAAUUUCCACACAAGUUAAGAUUUUCAAGUAGUGUGAGGUUUCGAAGACCAUCUGGAAUUGUACCUUCAAAGUUGUUAUCAUGUAAAGAAAGAGAAACCAGUUUUUCCAUUCCAAAUACCCACUUUGGAACCGAAGAAUUUGUUGAAAAAUAAGGAAUAUAGGAAAGAUCUAGAGUGACGAGAGAUGAGAAGUUAAGAAAUGACGGUUGAUUAUACAGAGGGAGUAUACAUCCUGACAAUUGUAGGUUCAUCAAAGAAGGAAGAGCUUGCAGAAUAUGGAAAAAAUCAAAUGAUUGGGAUAUGUCUGCAGAUGUCAAAUCAAGAUAUUCAAGUUUUGAAAGACUAGACAACCAAUAAUCAUUUUCAACAAAAUAAUGACCUUGAAGAUAAAGGUAAAGCAAGUUGGAGAGAUUUCCAAUUUGAGAGGGGAUAGUUCCAUUGGCAGCAUAACUUAAGUCUAGAUACACCAAAUUGGAAAGAUUACCAAUCUGGAAAGGAAUGUUGCCCAUAAAUCCAGAAUCAGAGAGAUCCAAGUGAAUUAAGUUGGUCAUUGAGCCAAGAAAAGAAGGAAUUGGCAUACCUUUAACAAGUGACCAAGUGUUGCUCAAGUCAAGAUAACAAAGCUUGGAAAGACUUGACAGCCAGUCAACAUUUUCAGAAUCAUAUCCUGUGAGUUGGAGGUGGAGCAAGUUGGAGAGAUUCCCUAUCUGAGGAGGAAUUCUUCCGUUGAAAGCAUAAGAGAGGUCAAGGUACAACAAAUUGGAGAGAUUCCCUAUCUGGGAAGGAAUUGUUCCGUUGGCAGCAUGACUUAAAUCAAGAUAGAGCAAAUUGGAGAGAUUUCCAAUCUGAGGAGGAAUGUUUCCCAUGAAUUUAGCAUUAGAAAGGUUGAGGUGAGUUAAGGAAGUCAUUGUUGCAAUGAAAGAAGGAAAUGGCUUCCUAUAAAAAAUAUUGCCGCUGAAAUCCAAAUAAUUCAAAUGCUUUAAAUCAACCAAACAAGGAUUUAUCUCUCCAUUGAAUGCCCUUCUACUAUACUCAUUGAAUGCUUCUCUGCGAACUUCUUCGUAAGUUUCAUCUAUUAGGCUCUCAUCGAAAGGGAAAGAAGGAAGUGGAGUGCUGAGGUGAAGCUCUGCAACGUGGGAUGUGACGUUGUUGCAGAGAACUCCGUACCAAUGGCAACAAUUGGGAUUGAGAGAAGCAUUCCAAGAAGAAAGUCUAUUUGAAGGAUCAAUGAGAUGAUGUUUUAACUUCAAAAGUGUCUCUCUCUCACUUUCAAUGCACACUAUCCCUCUGCACACACCAAAGCUUGACAUAGAAAGCGAAUAAAGAAACAGAAGGAUAAAGAAGGAGGAAGUCAUUUUUAGACCAAAGCUAAUGUGAAGAAGAAAGUGUUUUUUGAUUAGAAAGAAGCACUUAUGUGUUAUGCAUACUAAAUACCCUUUAUAUACACAAAAUCAUCUGUCUAUCAAUUUUAAUUUCCAUGCUAAAUUUAUAAAAUCAAAAUCAGUUUCAUAUUUUAUCUUCUUUUUCAGACCUUACAAAACAUCAACGUUCCUCCUCUUCAUCGAUGCCACCCAAAAAGAUUAAAUAUUUUUCAUUUUUUGAGACUGUACGAAACUUUAAAUAUUUUCCGUCUCAUUUCUUUACACCAAUAUUUGAGUAUUACACUUUUAUUUUUGUCACUGCAAUGCUUUUUUUUUUCUUUUUAUGGAUUUACCUUUUUUUUCUUUUACAAGUGGGAGUAUUUAUCUCCUUAUUUAUAAUAAAAUUUAUGCUGUUUAUUUCAGUUUUUUAAUUCAUAAAAGUUGAACACCAACAUUCAAAAAUCGAUGACGACUUUAAACACAUUUCGAUUAACUUAACUGAGAUAAAUUCCCUGCUUAUCCAUUUUAUUUAAUUUUAAAGUUAGAAUUUGGUAAUUUUUCUCAUAAAAAUUUAUAGAGAGAGACCUAAAAUGAAGUGCAUAUUGAGACGUUAUAAAAAAAGAUUAGAUAAUUUUUAUUCUUUGAUUACGAAAAUUCAGUUAAAUAAGUAACAGAUGAAGGACUGAUUUUGUUUAUCGUAUUUAAACAGACAGAAAAAGUUAUAUUUAAUUAUAGUAAUCUUUUAUUGACUCUUUGCUACACUUUAAAUUUGUUUUUAAGUUUACAUGGGAUCUUAUUCCUCGUUCAUAUUAUAAAUUAGAAAAUUAAGCACACAACAAACAUAACAAAGAAAAAAAUGGAAGUACCACCCAUUUUUUGAGUUAUGGUGAGAAGGAAAUGCAGAAAAUCAAAUCAAAAGACUUUUAAAGUCCUAUCCAUUUUAUGGAUUACAAAAUUAUGACGCCACUCAUAAAUCAUAAAAUCUAAACUAUUUUCAAGAUUCGGUUAUUCAUUUUUCUCAUAUAAUCUAUUAUAUGAAAUGUAUGAAAGAAAUAAACGAGAGAAUCAUAUAUUUAAACAAGUUAACUUUAUUCAAUCAAAAUAAUUUUACAAUUAACUAACUUCUUAAAUCACUUCUGAUGAUAUUAUUUUAUCUAACUUGAUUUCUUCUAAUUAAUUCAGAACGAGAAUUAUUUAAAAAAAUUAAUAUUAAAAUCUAUUUUAAAUACUCCUUAUAAACAGUCAAGUUCACACUAAAUGUAUUGACUAUAAAUAUCCAAUUAAUUGUUUGACUCAGUCUUAGCCAUUCACUUCACACUCACUCACUCAAAUAUCAUUGUUAGGCCAACCCAUCACAUUUCAAGUUUUAUCAUCUUGAGGGUUUGACGUCACUAUUUUUUAAAAUAUUUGUAUAAAAUUUAUAUAAAAAUUAGUUUUGGUUUUAAUUUUGUAAAAAAAAACAAAAUUGAUUGAUUUUUUAAAAAGAAAAUGACACUAAAUUUAAACAAAAUAAAAUAUAAAAAUUAAAUUGAAACUAAAAUAAUCACACAUAAUAUAAUAAUAACACUAUAAAUUGUCAUAGUCAUCUCAUAUUGUCAUUAUCAUGAAUUGAGAUAAAAGACUUUAUGGCAUCAAUUUUUCUAAAGUAAUAACUAAAUUGAGACAUGUAAAAAGAAACCAACGAGAUCUCUUUACAAAAAUAGAGAUGAAGGAUAUAAUUUAACCUAAUUCAUUUUAGGUUAUACAACUGAAUCAAAUUUUGUAAAUAUGAUAUAAUCACGAUGUUGAAAUUCUGUACGUGCAUAUGCAUAUAAUUAUAAAUAAUCAUCUUAUGAAAUAUGUAAAUAUAAAGAUAUAAAGAAUAAUGAUAUUCAGCCUUACCCCCAAAGGCAACAACUUACUCAGGCCAAGACGACAACGUUCUAAUAAUUGAAUGGUCCAAAACGUUGCGUUUCACUUAAGCCCAAUUCCAUGUGCAGCAGAGUCCCUUUCCUCUCUAUUCAAAACACACAACAUUGUUAGUCUUUAGCCCAUUCUUAGAUUUUGGCCCCUUUUGACUAUGGGCUGAUCUGCAAAAAGAAAAGAAAUAGGGUAAAUCGGCAAAAAGAGAAAAUGGACAUCUAUAACAGCAAAGAAAAUUAAUAUGACAUUUAAAGUAAAGAAAAAAAAAUACUAUUUAUUAUCUAAAAACACAAAAUUAACAUUAUUUCUUUUUAAAACCUGUUUUUAUCCUAAUUAUACUAAUCUACUUUAAUUCUAGAAAAUUAACAGUUAAACUAUCCUAAAAGAAGAGUAUUAACAUAGAAAAAUGGGAAAAUUUAGAGACUUAACAGGUUACCUUUGUUUCUUUCAUGAAUUUAACCUUAGAAAAACAUAUGACCUCGGUUAUUCUAAUAAGCAAAGCAAUAACCACUAUAUGGCAUUGGUUAUGCAUAAAAUCAAAGCCUAAAGACUAAUAAAAAUUUAAAAAAAUAUACAAAUUUUCGUGGUAAUUUUGAAAUUUUAAUCAACCUUUUGCCCUUUGUUUCUUAUAGAACUUAAGCAGAAACCAUAUAUGGAUACAGUUACGUACAAACCGAGGCCAUAUGUCCGAUUUAGAAAAAAAAAAACAAAAAAAAAAGAGUUGUAUCCGACUUUGGCCGAGCUAUAACCAACCUUGGUCAACUUGUAUCUAACCUUAGCCGAGUUGUAUCUGAUGUUGACUAAGCUGUAUCUGAUCUUGACCGAGCUACAUCAGACCAUCCUUACCUAGACAUAUCAAAGUGGGAAUUUUGAAAGUUUUAUUACCUUUUGGCCUCGAUUGUUCAUAGAAUUAAGACAGAAAGUACAUAUGACUUCUAUUACGAGAGAAAGUUUUUAUGGAUGCGUAAUGAUUCAAGCUCCUUCAAUGAACCAAUGGAUUGGGGAAUGUUCCCAACGAAAUUAUUGUUUUGUAAAUUCAGGUCCACUAGAUAUGGCCAAAUUCCCCAACAAUCAGGUAUUUCUCCAGACAAGUUAUUCGAUGCAAGAUUGAGAGUUUUUAAAUUCAUUGGCUUCAUAUGAUUUUUGCAUAAAAAAUCAUCCACUGGAUUGUAAAAUAAAUUGCUUGAAAGGUCCAAAAAAUCCACACGAUUUGAAAGUAAGGGUAAUUUGCCAGCUAAGUUAUUUGCACUUAGAUCAACAGUGGGGAUAGAUAUUGGAUUCUUUAAUGUAGUCCCAAGCUCACCACGGAUAUGAUUAUAAGAGAGAUUUAGAAAAGAAGCCUGCGAAAAUGUUUCCCAAAACCAAUACGGAAUAGAAUCUAAAAUCCCCGUCUUAGACAUCGCUAAAUAUUCAAGUUUGUCUUGUGACUGAAUCCAUGAAGGAAGCUUAGGACCUAAUUGCCAAUAACUCAUAUCCAAAUAAGUAAGUUGAAAAGUAGGAUGCCAAUUGGGACCCACUUUUAAAGUCAAAUUGUUUCCUGCUGCAUGAAGGAAACUCAAACUCACAAGAUUAAUGAGAUGAUUUUCCAUGACAACUCCUUCAAAACGAUUAUAACCAAUAUCAAGAUAUGACAAUUUAGAGAGUGAUCUAAGACUUUCAAAUGGAUUUCCACUAAGAUGAUUCUUGGACAGAGAAAGAUAUCUCAGUGAUGAUAGUUUUCCAAAUGAUACUGGAAGAUUGCCUGAAAGUUGAGAACUUUCAACUCGAAGUGUAUUCAGUCCAUGGAAAAUACAAGGAGAAAGAAUAUCUAAAAUUUCAUCGAUAUGCUGGUUGAGUUUGAGAGAUGAGAAACGUAUCACCUUUAAGUUGCAUAGAUAACCAAAAGAAGUUGGAAUUGGA
rnacentral:lncRNA from 1 species